GAUUGUCGUUUGUUUGUUGCUCAAUAUAUUGAAAAAAUUCAUGUUUGGACAUGUGUAGUUUCUUGUAUUGUUAAGCCAUGGUUUGGUUGGAUAUUAUUGUGUCCAUGUGAUGGCUAGGAUUGAGGCAAUUGGAUCAUUCUUGAGUGACCAACUAUUGAAGGAAGCUAUAGAGCUUGAUUAGCUCAUUUGGAUAGGUGUGUAUUUUGCAAAGUUGUAGCUUGAAUUCAGAGUUUGAUUAGUCGCAAACUUGUUGGUGAACAAAGGUUGAAUUGGAGCAUUAAGGUACAGAUGUUGCAGGAGCCUCUAGUGAAAAAUGGCCAUAUUUGGACUAGAUGGUCUUAUAUUGAUAGCCUGUUAUUUUGGAUUGCAUCUCAUUUAGGAUUGUAGAUGUAUAUGUCAUUUACAUUGGCACAUGUAUAUGUAUAUUUUGAGGCCACAUGAUGUAUUUUGGGGGACUUAGUGCAUGAUCUUUGGGGUGGUGAAUACCUUCUUGUAUAUGGCUAAUAGCUUUGAUCAUGUUCAUUUUGUAGCUCAGUCCUUU